rfam:Fulmarus glacialis contig31449, whole genome shotgun sequence.
GAGCACUUGAUACUAACCGAGCCAUCCGUAUCCCAGGUCUUGUGCAGAGGUCUGAGGUACACCAUGUGAUUGCUGGGUCUGAAAAGUGCAACAUUAAAACAAGCCAUGAAGUGUUUAAGCUCAGUGUAUAAAGGAUAACACCGGGUUAUAACUCAGAGGCACAGAA